GAGGACGUACGCUGAACCAGAUUCCAUCGGUGCCUUAACGUUGGGUAAUUGCGCAUUCGUUGUGGCAUCGGUGAACUCGAGUUGCCAGUUCGGUUUACUGACGUCUUCCUUCCCCGUUUCCAAAGAGAAGGCAGCUUUCCUAAGGUUUCCCCCGGGUGAAUUCGGUGUCUGGGCAGCCCCUUCGGAUUCAAGGCAGAUGUUAUUUUGCCAUUUUUUAUAUUACGCCAGGUGGAGUCCCUUUGACACCCAGCCUAACUUCUCUAUUUCAAGCUCAGGGGAGAGAGUGAGUGCCCGAGGGCUUCCUGCUUUUCUCUCGCAUUCCAGCCUUCGUGUUCUAAGGAAUAGUCACAAACGGCUCGAACUAAAGGGUCCAUGGAGCAG
rnacentral:lncRNA from 1 species